CCUGGCUUUUGUGCUGGGGCCCGUGACGAAUGGCUCAGAAAAGAGGGUGCUGUGAGAAACUGAAGCUGCCGCUGGCGGAGUGGGUGAUGCUGAGAUCCUGACGCUGCACACCCAUGGGAAAGCCAGAACACGCCUGUACCAUGCAUGGGAUGGAUCCACAGGUCAUGGCACCCUGCGUCCCACCUGCUGGGCUGCUCGAGGGGUGGCAGGAGGAUGCAUGGAAAGCUCUUUCAUCAUCUGCCUGCCUCCCUCCAGCUUCCCCAUGGUUCCUCCAAGGCUCCUUUGUGGCCGUAAUCAAAGCCUGGUGAG